rnacentral:rRNA from 1 species
CCUACGGGCGGCUGCAGUGGGGAAUAUUGGACAAUGGGGGCAACCCUGAUCCAGCCAUGCCGCGUGUGUGAAGAAGGCCCUCGGGUUGUAAAGCACUUUCAGUGAGGAAGAACGCCUGGUGGUUAAUACCCAUCAGGAAAGACAUCACUCACAGAAGAAGCACCGGCUAACUCCGUGCCAGCAGCCGCGGUAAUACGGAGGGUGCGAGCGUUAAUCGGAAUUACUGGGCGUAAAGCGCGCGUAGGUGGCUUGAUAAGCCGGUUGUGAAAGCCCCGGGCUCAACCUGGGAACGGCAUCCGGAACUGUCAAGCUAGAGUGCAGGAGAGGAAGGUGGAAUUCCCGGUGUAGCGGUGAAAUGCGUAGAGAUCGGGAGGAAUACCAGUGGCGAAGGCGGCCUUCUGGACUGACACUGACACUGAGGUGCGAAAGCGUGGGUAGCAAACAGGAUUAGAUACCCUGGUAGUC